GCGGGUGUAGCUCAAUGGCAGAGCACCUGCCUUCCACGCAGGCUAUGGGAGUUCGAUUCUCCUCACCCGCU
rnacentral:tRNA from 5 species